CAUGGCAUAACCGUGGUAAUUCUACAGCUAAUACAUGAGCAAAAUCUCAACUUUAUUAGAAGAGACGCAUUUAUUAGAUAAAAAGCCAAUGCAUGCUUUUACAGUAUGGAAAUUGGUGAUUUAUAAUAACUUGGCAAAUCGCAAAGUGAAAACAGGCGAUAAAUCAUUCAAGUUUCUGACCUAUCAGCUUUCGACGGUAUGGUAUUGGCUUACCGUGGCAGUGACGGUUAACGGGGGAUUAGGGUUCGAUUCCGGAGAGGGAGCCUGAGAAACGGCUACCACAUCUAAGGAAGGCAGCAGGCGCGCAAAUUACCCAAUUCUAACAGUUUGAGAGAGGUAGUAACAAGAAAUAACAAUACAAGGCAAUUAAAAUGCUUUGUAAUUGGAAUGAUAGAAAUUUAAACCCUUUUUAAAGUAUCAAUUGGAGGGCAAGUCUGGUGCCAGCAGCCGCGGUAAUUCCAGCUCCAAUAGCGUAUAUUAAAAUUGUUGCAGUUAAAAAGCUCGUAGUUGAAGUUCUGCUAAAAGUAACCGGUCUGCUUUUAAUAAAAGUGGUAUCUUGGUGUGUAUUUAGCAAUGAUGUCCUUUGAAGUGUUUUUUACUUUAUUGUAAUAAAGCAUAUUCAGGACUUUUACUU
rnacentral:rRNA from 1 species